rnacentral:rRNA from 1 species
GAUGAACGCUAGCGGCAGGCUUAACACAUGCAAGUCGAGGGGCAGCAUAAUGGAUAGCAAUAUCUAUGGUGGCGACCGGCGCACGGGUGCGUAACGCGUAUGCAACCUACCUUUAACAGGGGGAUAACACUGAGAAAUUGGUACUAAUACCCCAUAAUAUCAUAGAAGGCAUCUUUUAUGGUUGAAAAUUCCGAUGGUUAGAGAUGGGCAUGCGUUGUAUUAGCUAGUUGGUGGGGUAACGGCUCACCAAGGCGACGAUACAUAGGGGGACUGAGAGGUUAACCCCCCACACUGGUACUGAGACACGGACCAGACUCCUACGGGAGGCAGCAGUGAGGAAUAUUGGUCAAUGGACGCAAGUCUGAACCAGCCAUGCCGCGUGCAGGAUGACGGCUCUAUGAGUUGUAAACUGCUUUUGUACUAGGGUAAACUCACCUACGUGUAGGUGACUGAAAGUAUAGUACGAAUAAGGAUCGGCUAACUCCGUG